GGACCCGCACAAGCGGUGGAGCAUGUGGUUUAAUUCGAUGCAACGCGAAGAACCUUACCAACCCUUGAAAUCUAGCGAAGUUCACAGAGAUGAGAAUGUGCCUUCGGGAACGCUAUGACAGGUGUUGCAUGGCUGUCGUCAGCUCGUGUCGUGAGAUGUAUGGUUAAGUCCAGUAACGAGCGCAACCCCUAUCCUUAUUUGCCAGCGCGUUAAGGCGGGAACUAUAGGGAGACUGCCGGGUGAAACCCGGAGGAAGGCGGGGACGAGGUCAAGUCAUCAUGGCCCUUAUGGGUUGGGCUACACACGUGCUACAAUGGGAAGUACAGAGAGCAGCCACUACGCGAGUAGGAG
rnacentral:rRNA from 1 species